CCUGGCUUCCCUCCAAGGCGCAUCGACGGCUGACCUUGUUUAGAACCAAUUUCAGCUUUUUAAUAAGCCCUUUGCUUUCCUGAAUCUCUCUGAUGCCAUCAGCCUUUGCAGGCUGUAAUUCCCCAUCGCCUCUGCCACAUGAGGCUGGCUUCUGCUGACGUCCUAACCUCAGGCAGUGACAACCCCAAGUGGAGCGACGGUGGUGCAGACUGGAGCUGGCAGGAUUUGUCAAGAUGAUCCGUGAUUCACAGAGGGAGCCGGGAGAGACCCCUUGACGGGUCCCCGAGCGCCUCUCAGCCCCAUCUCCUCCUCAUCCAUCAUCUGCGAUGAUUCUUAAAGAACGAACACAUCAAGCUUGCUGUCACAAUGUUUUAAAAUGUUGCAGUAAUUAAAAACCACCGGUAAUUUCUUUUCACACAGAUGAGGCUGUCUUUUCAAACCAGGGCAAUGGAAACACCCCACACGCUGCACACCUGAGCCCGCGCACGCCUCCCACUCUGUCCGCUGGCACACUCUGCUGCCCGACCCUCUCACCUUCUCUUGCACACUUUGGUACCUCGUCAUUCUCCUGGUCCCAUCUAAAAGACGUCCAAUCUAACAGACCCAGGAUGCGAGGCACACUCUGCCUAUUCGGCAUCACAGAGUAAUCACAGUGACUUGCAGUUACCCAUCUCUCAAUAGUUUCUUUUUAAAAAGUUCAUCUCUUCUCUAAAUGGGCUUGAUCUUGACCUGCACAGAUCAUCUGGAGUUGAGUGGACACAGGUUCAGUGAAAACGGAUCAAAGGGGCUGUUGCUGGGCUCAGUCAAUCAACUGCAGAACGUCUUAUGGCUGCAGGCUAAGAAGAGGAAACAAUUCAACGACCAAACAAAGGUUAAUCUAGUAACUGCGGCAAGGCCCAGGUAAUUUCCAUAAAUAUGUGGAAACAGCAACCACUUCAAUAGUUUGGCCUGGCACCAAUAUGAGGAGGAGCUUGGAAAACCGGACGUGGACCCCCUUUCAGUGCCCUGAGAUCCAUCGAGCAGCUGAAUGGAGGUCGGUGCUGGGGGCCAGGGGGCACCCACACAGACCAGUGAGCAGCUGCCCCUUCUGGAAUCUCACAGACUUCUAACACCGAGGGGUCCCCGGGUGCCAGCUGUGCUGCAAGUGGACAGCCAGCCUCUGCUCAGACAUGUCUGGAGAUGGCGAGCUCCUCCCUUCCAGAGGGUUCCCAGAAAGGGAAUAGGAGAAGCUCUUGGCCAUCAUUCUCAUUACUCUCCACAUCCUGGCAGAAACUUUAUUCCUCGAGCACUUUGUUCUUUCUGCCUCUGUAGAAUGAGACUCAGCCAUCAACAGCAGCUGCUCACAUCCUUUGUUCCCAAGAACGUCGUUCCCUCCAUUCGAGUGUGCAGGGGACUGUGCAUGGGGGUGCAGGUGUGAUUGGAAUGUCAGGGUUUCCCCGCCACCGCUGGUUUUGUUUUUUCCUCUAUAUCCAGCCAAUGAGCACCUCUUGUGCACAUAUAGAUCCUCAGAGAGAAAGAAAGCCUGAUGCCUCUUCUUCAUGAGGCUGUAAGUCUUUGAGCAAUGAGGCUAUCCAACUCGACUCCAAGAAACGGAUGCGCACAGAGGUCCUGCUUGUAUAGUGUCAGGCUGAUCUUACGCAAGCCCCAUUUGCCCUAAGUGGAAAAUGAACCUUUGUAAACUGCCACCCAUGAACCAAUGUGUUGGGAGGUGUUCAACCAACUUGGCCAUCUGUUGAAUUUGAGUUAUAUCCACGAAGCUCUGUUGUGGAAUGAUGCUGGUGGUGGGGACAGAGUAGCUGCCGUUGGCUGAGGUUGCCACGCGACUAAACAGCUUAUUGUAGUGGAUGGAGAACCAGUCCGGCGGCAGAAUGUCACUCCUCCCACCCCCGGGCCUGUUUUUGGCCAACCUAAAAGAACUGCGUGUAACUAGGAUCCUUUUUUUUGCACGCACCAGGAGAACUUGCUAUUUAGGGAAUCCUGAUGAUGAAUUGUUUUUAUAAAGUCAGACCAGAGACUCUUCCUUGUCUUUCUCUCCCCUCACCCAUUUUUAUUUUCUGAAAUUGGUUUUUGCUUAAAAUCAGGGCAUGCUUUUGCACAUAAAUAAUGAGUUUGGUGGUGACCAUCUGGCAUUGCGAUCCAAAUGAAAUCUAUUCAGUGUAGUCACCUCUUUGCUGGCUGUGUGACCUUGGCCAAGUCACUUCACCCCUUUGUUACCAUCUGUAAAGCGAGGGCAAUGCAGGCAUCUACUGUACAUAUUGUGGGUAAUAUUCAGACCUCUUUCAAAUAAAAUGGGCUCCAUUUUAAAUAAGGUUUCGUCAUCACGGGCAUCAGGAACACAUCUCUCUCCACAGCAUGGGAAAGAAACCAGCAUGUCAAGAGGCCAAGAGCUACAGAGUCUGAGCUGGUUCCACAGAGGUUUCCAGCUGCUCAGAUCUAUAGCUGCAGGAUUCUGCAGAGUUUGAGUAAAAAGUCAGCAUGGGGAGAAGUGGAAGGGCAUUGAGCUGGUUGGUAAAGACAGGGC
rnacentral:lncRNA from 10 species